CAGCUCUCACCUUCAUUAUGAUCCCUUGUGUUGCUGUUGGAUGUCUGAUGAUUGUCGCUUCAGUUCUGUUCUUCUUGAUCUACAGGAAAUACAGAAAUACACCGCAACAGGUUGAAUCUAGAGAAGAGGAAAUCACUUAUGUAGAUCCAACAUUCGGUAAAAAAAGAGCAGCACAUAAACCGGGAUCUGAAGUAGUGGAUGAUGUUGUGUAUGCACGAGUCAAGAGAUGAUAAACAAACUCACUGUGAUUCUCAGAUUCAGCUGCGUGAUCAUCUUCAGUUUCUGUUAUAACUUCAGAUGGUUUGAGUUUUAAGUUUCUCCUGAACAGAGUUUAGUUAUUUUAUAGUAAUAUUACAUGAAGUCUGUUUACUCUCUUGUUCACAAUUCACAAGCAUAAACCUCAUGUUAACAGCCAAAAAUGCAACUAUAGGACAAUUAAAUAACAUUGAUAGACAGCAGAUUAAAGAAAGAUUAAACUGCAAAUCAUUAUCAGAAAUACUGUGAUCAAUAUAUAAUUAAUAACUAAAAGUGUGGAUAUGAUGGUUUUUUAAACACAAAGUAUUUCUAUAUUUUAUUUUUGUCACUGAAUGCAUGCAACACUUUAACAACUUUUCUGGGUUAAAGUUUAACCUGUUGUGGAAAGAAAUGUGGUUUUGUUCUGUUGGUGGACAUGAGAGAUGUGUUUGUAUUUGACUAUAAGUGGCUGUUUGUGGUUAAUGUGUAUGUGUGUGUGUAUAUGAGAGGUGUGAUCAGUGUGUGUGUGUGUGUGUGUGUGUGUGUGUGUGUGUGUGUGUGUGUGAGAGAGAGAGAGAUAGAGAGAGAUAUGUGAUCAGUGUGCGUGUGUAUGUGAGAUGUGUGAUCAGUGUUUAUAGGUUUGUGUGAUUGUGUAAAAAUAGUGUUGGUCUUCUUUAUACUACACAAAAUCUUACACCAAAAUACAACCCAAAUGAACCCAUCAAGACUAAAGUUUGAUAAAUGAAAGAUUCAAUCAAAGUGAUAUUACUGUGAUGUAUUACUUUAAGAUGCAUAUGAUUUAUGUUAAGUUCAUCCCAAACAGUGGGCCGGGCCCCUUUGUGUAUUUAUUGUGGAUAAAGAUGAUUGGAGGGCCGCAUUUGGCCCACAGGCCGCCAGUUGAAUAUCCCUGCCCUAUACACUAAAACCUGCUGUAGACCUUCUGACCUGCGAAUUUGUAUCAGCGUUGUUACAAGUACAAAACUGGUAUGUCACAACGCGACCUUUCUCUCUACUAAGAAGCACAAGUGAAUGAAGCCAAAGAUCAUAUUGUUGAGCUGCUCUCCGCCCAUUCACCGCAGCAACGUCUGACAAAUACUUGCAUGCUCAAAGUCUAGUGUGACCACAACCUAAGUCAACUGAUGUAUGACAAAUGAACACAAAAACCACUGUGCAGCACUGCUUCAGACACAUUUUUAUUUAAAAACUGCCUUUGAGCAGUAGACUUUGAGCAUGUGAGUAUUUGUCGGAUGUGGCAGUAAAAAGCAGCUACAAAAAUGUAUGGUAUGUGGAAAAUAAUGUGUUUUUGAACCAUAAACCAUGCAAACACAUUGUAUUAUAAACCAAAUACACAAAAUAACGUUGUUUUUAGCAAUGAAACAGGUGCUCUUUAAAAAUAAAUUCUUAGCCUACAUGCUCAUGUCUUAGAGUGUAUGUUAUGGGUAGAGGGUGGGGGCCCACAUUUAUAAUUUUCAGGGGGCCCAUAAUUCUUUAGCUAAAAUUUUACUAAUUUCUUUUUAUUUAGUAAAGUUUCUUUUUGGGUGAACUAUCCGUUUAAUAUUGAACACAUGCACAUGGAGUACAAACUCUAGUUUGAGAAUAAUCUAGAAUUUUCAAAAUGUUCAAAGACUGGUUUUACUCUUUCAGACUUUGUAUAAUAGUAGUAAUUUGGGUAGAGGAAUACAAGUCUUAAGGGCUCAUUAUAGUUGUGCUUAAACAGCGUAGCCUAGACGGCGUAUUCUAUGCGUCGGUUUUCAUAUAUACUUCCACCAACCGGACUAUGGUCUCUUACUCACUGCUUCUGCAUUCACUUCCUUGUCUUUGUGGAUUUACCCAUGACAUCAUCUCAUUCAUGUUGCUGAGUAUUGUUAGUUGUAACAAUGUCUUUGUGUAUUUGUGUAAACUUCCACUCGAUUCAGGUUUGGGUUGACUAUUCUGUAACGCGGGAGACUUGUGGUAGAAUCCAAGUGCAGAAGUUUAUUAACAAACCAGGCAAACAAGACAAAAGGGUAAUCCACAAACAUAAUCCAAUGAACAAGCAAAGGUCAAACCAGAACAUGAAACAUAGAAACAAGAGACAA